rnacentral:rRNA from 1 species
AACGUAGGAGACAAACGUUAUCCGGAGUUACUGGGCGUAAAGGGCUCGUAGGCGGCCAACUAAGUCCGACGUGAAAUCCCCAGGCUUAACCUGGGAACUGCGUCGGAUACUGGGUGGCUUGAAUUCGGGAGAGGGAUGCAGAAUUCCACAAGUAGCGGUGAAAUGCGUAGAUAUGUGGAAGAACACCGGUGGCGAAGGCGGUUUUCUAUUUUAGACCUGACGCUGAGGCGCGAAAGCAAGGGGAUCAAACAGG